rnacentral:rRNA from 1 species
UACGGGGGGGGCAAGCGUUUGUUCGGAAUUAUUGGGCGUAAAGGGCGCGUAGGCGGUGCGGCAAGUCAGGGGUGAAAUCCCGGAGCUCAACUCCGGAACUGCCCUUGAAACUGCAGUGCUAGAAUCCUGGAGAGGCGAGUGGAAUUCCGAGUGUAGAGGUGAAAUUCGUAGAUAUUCGGAAGAACACCAGUGGCGAAGGCGACUCGCUGGACAGGUAUUGACGCUGAGGUGCGAAAGCGUGGGGAGCAACAGG